UGAAUGAGGUUAGCAGUAGAUCAUUUGGGAAUGCCAGAGAUGAGCCCAAAGAUUGGGCUUUGCCUGGAGGAGGGGACACCGACCUGAAGAGGGCAUGAUUAAACAUUCUCCAAAAGGUCUUGGGAGGUUAGGUAUCUCAAAGACUUUCUACAGCCUGGAGAAAAAUGCCAAGGUUUGCUUCAAAGGAAUGUGAGGAUGGAU
rnacentral:lncRNA from 1 species